UUUAAGGCUGCUCCGGUUUAUGACACAGUGACAAAUCAUGUGGUGUAAAUUCAGUCAAAGUCAGUAAUUUGAUCAACAUGUCAGGCGGGAGGAGGUACGGGUCGGUUCCUAAGCUAACUGUUUCAGACUUCUGUAAAUACUGAAACCCGCUCAGUUCAAUACUCCAGAUUCUCACUUCCAAUUUACAUCAUGGCGCUUCGAAUGAUUAAGUGACGCAUGUGCAAAGGGUCAGUACUUGGUCAGUACUUUGUCAGUACUUUGUCAUAAAUGCUGUUUUGACCUAAAUAAUGUAAUAUAUAAUCUGGAAGUCAUCUGGCUAAUGACUCGAAGAUUCGUGCUGACGUCUAAGUGCCAAAUAAACGCAAAUCAGUCUGAUUAAAAUAGCAAAUGUGUGCUAUAGAUCUGACCCUCAGUGAAAUAUUUAGCUCCCCCUUAGCACCUGCAGGAAAAACAAUUCAAACAAAUACAAAUUCCCAGUUUAUUCACAGAAUCAUCUUCAUUUCCUGGGUAAGACACAGCUUUAAGAUGGAGUAAUGACUUUAAAAUUGUGUCAAUACAUGAAUUUGAAGCAUACAUCCUUCAUUCAUUUUGAAUCUGAUUAUUCUCUGAAAGUCAAGCCAUGAAAACAUCAUCCUUAUCCAAGCUCUGGACCUGAUUGCAUGCUGUCAGUGACGCACAUGUAGCAGUGGAAACACACACACUCCAACCUUGUCCUCCAUGACGGUGACCUUCUCAAACAGCGGAACAAAUCUUCAUGCAUCAUUGCUGUUGGCAACAAGGCCUGAUUCCACAGAGCGAUGUAGACGGUGCACAAUCAGCUGCACGUUGUUUAAUGACGCAGAGCAACAGGACAACAGACAAUGGCCAGACUUGAUCAACCGCCACACAUCAACCGCCACAAACGUUGACUGACAAUGGUUCCUGUCAAACCAGUUGGUCCCACCAUGCCUGCACCUCCAUCCCUGAAAGGGAUGGGUAACCUUUUCAAAAUAUUUUAUCAUAACUGCACAGAUGGGAAAAAGGAAGUGCACAUUUGCUUCAAGGACUCAACAACUGAUGUCAGCAAGGUGGAAUAAACCAAGAUGAAGCAAUCUAUCAGAAACAAUGUCAGCGGGUUUUAUUAGGGCGUCCUGAUUUGAUGUGUAAUUUUAAAGAGACAAGCUGAUGCACACUGGAGGAGGACUUGCGUCACACAUUGCACAAGGCUUCAUUGCUAUGGUUUCACUUCCUGCACAUGUGGCAGAUCUGCUACAGGCAGCCUGUAUGCUGAACGAAAGCAUUAAUCCCCUUAGAUUCCUCCCACACAGCAUGUCUGAUCUUUUCUUUGAAGCUCCUUAAAAUGCAUCAAACUAACCUAAUAGAGCUUUACCUCAGAUCAAAGGGCGUUAAACCUCACAUCAUAAAUUAGCAUUUAAUUUUAUCUCCAUAUCUCUGGCUCUAACCUCAUACUAUUGUUGAAAAUAGAGUCAAGAUCAGUGUUUCCUUUAAAAUGUAACACAUAGGCAGAGCUGAAAUCAUUUUGAAAGCCAUCUGCUCAGUGUGGUCUCUGUGAUUAGAGGCUCAUUCUGCAGCAGCCUGAUCACAGAGCACAGACAGGCAGGCAGGCACUCACAUUUAAAAGCCAAGUAUGGUAAUUCCUGCUUGGAAUUUCAGCUUUCAUGCAAUUUCAUCAGGACCAUCUGAGACAACAAGUUGUUGUCACAGCCUGCACAAAAUCUGUUGCAAUAUCCCAGACUCCAACAAUGAGUCAUAGGUCAAUGCUGCCAGGGUAAACCUCAGUACACAGAGUCCAACUUUUUAACAUAACACAUUGUUCUAAGCAGGAAUCUGCAAUCACACCAUUAGAGUAGAAUAUAAUUAGUUUUACCUUGGCAACACAAAGUGGAUGUUUCUAUUAAAUUUAGUCCACCAACAAGCUAACCGAGGAAUGAUAAUUUAAGUGUUUUCCAGAUUUUAAACCAGAAAUUCCAACGAAGAAGAAAAAAUUCCCACCAGUCUGAAAUGCAUCAUUAUAAGUCAGAAGCUCUAGAACUGAAAAUCGAUUGUGGCUCCUUGAGAGCUAAACGUUAGUUUAUUUACACUUUUGUCUAGUUGUAUUCUACUCAAUCAGCCAG